GUGGCCAGCCGCCGCGGUAAUACGGAGGGUGCGAGCGUUAAUCGGAAUUACUGGGCGUAAAGCGUACGCAGGCGGUUUGUUAAGCGAGAUGUGAAAGCCCCGGGCUCAACCUGGGAACUGCAUUUCGAACUGGCAAACUAGAGUGUGAUAGAGGGUGGUAGAAUUUCAGGUGUAGCGGUGAAAUGCGUAGAGAUCUGAAGGAAUACCGAUGGCGAAGGCAGCCACCUGGGUCAACACUGACGCUCAUGUACGAAAGCGUGGGGAGCAAACAGGAUUAGAUACCCGAGUAGUCC
rnacentral:rRNA from 1 species